rnacentral:rRNA from 1 species
GAUGAACGCUGGCGACGUGCCUAAUACAUGCAAGUCGAGCGAACGGACGAGAAGCUUGCUUUUCUGAUGUUAGCGGCGGACGGGUGAGUAACACGUGGAUAACCUUCCUAUAAGACUGGGAUAACUUCGGGAAACCGGAGCUAAUACCGGAUAAUAUUUUGAACCGCAUGGUUCAAAAGUGAAAGACGGUCUUGCUGUCACUUAUAGAUGGAUCCGCGCUGCAUUAGCUAGUUGGUAAGGUAACGGCUUACCAAGGCAACGAUGCAUAGCCGACCUGAGAGGGUGAUCGGCCACACUGGAACUGAGACACGGUCCAGACUCCUACGGGAGGCAGCAGUAGGGAAUCUUCCGCAAUGGGCGAAAGCCUGACGGAGCAACGCCGCGUGAGUGAUGAAGGUCUUCGGAUCGUAAAACUCUGUUAUUAGGGAAGAACAUAUGUGUAAGUAACUGUGCACAUCUUGACGGUACCUAAUCAGAAAGCCACGGCUAACUACGUG